AUUUCACGAGACCAACAAGAUCUCACGGGACUUCAGCUCAAACUGUAGUGGGAAUUUGGGCACAGAACGGCAGAUAAAGUUUGUCCUUCUGUGUGUGAGACAAACUGUCCUUAUGGAAUAUAAUUAAUUGUCCCAUUCAGAUACCAUCACCUGGCUGUCAUCGUUAUCUGUGUAUAUAAAAGUAUUAUUAGCGUUUUUAAUAGUUACAUAAGCAAUGUUGUAACCAGCACCACGGUGAAGCAGUUUGUUUAUUUAUAAUGGUGAACUAAGAAAACUAGUGUGUAUGUAGACGGGAUCAAUUGGCUUUGCAUGUAGUAGUUCCGGUGUAACGUUAGAGCGGAUAAUGGUACGGAGACUUUCACUUCAGUGAGGCAUUUUGUGGGGGAAUUUAGCCUGGGGAAACGGUGAAAACAACAUGCCUUUACUGAAAAGUCCCUCAACAGGGCUACCUGUAGUGUAGCUAUAGUAGCGCUGAACAUUGCAACUGGAAAGGACACAGGGGAAAUUAUUGUUCUGUCUUUUUCUCUUUCUUGUAAAGUUAAGAUCUUAUAAAAUAUUUUGUAAGAGCCUGAAUGAUAAAAUAAUUAUUAUAAUAUAUAUAAUAUUUUUAUUGUUGUUUUAUUGUUAUUUUUUGCCAUGUUAUUUGUUAAUACAGUGCUGCCAGAAUCCAACCAGUACCCCUCUCUACCAACCCCAGAUGCAAGCAGUGCCGCUGGAGGAAGCUACUCAGAGGAUGUUCAGUCAUUUGACCAGCCUAAUAAUGGCUUUUGUGGAAACUUCUUGGCAGAGCUAGAGUCAAAAGACCUCUCUUUGUGA
rnacentral:lncRNA from 15 species